GUUUCAUUUCAGUUCCUCGUAAUAGGCAAAGAUCGCCUACUUAGAAGAAACACAAAAAGGAAGUCGGUGUAAGGUAGGGAAUUUUAUGCUAUUCUAUGGUGUAUCUGAUUUCUUUCCUUGAAUUAUUUGUUGGAAUUUUAUGUUGUUUCUAUGAUUUCAUAAAAUCUUUUAAAGUGUCAUUGCAUCUCGGUUUAUUGCAUUGAAAUGUUACCAUGAUGCCAAAACGUAUAUUGGUAUGAAGAUUCGUGGUUUUGUGUUGUCGAAAUGGUUUAUGGUGUGAUUGCAUUGCAAGAAGGACAUGGAAUUAUCACAGAUCAUAUUCAGAGAAUUUAUUGGUGGCGAAGUGCUUAUGUGAUGCUACAGGCCUUAUCAUUUGUUAUAUUGUUUAUGUGGGACCGUGGGUCCUUGGGUGAAAGUCCCUAAAGCCCUCGAGGAAGACACUCCGAUGUGGGUGUAUGGGGUUGGUCCUGCCCCUGGGUUUUAGUCCCUAAAGACACGGGGUUGGUCCUGCCCUUGGGUAUGAGUCCCAAAAGACACGGGGUAUGACUUGCCCUUGGGUGAUGUCCCAGAAUAGUCAUUAUUAUAUUGAUCGAGUAUCUUAUGGAGCAUUGAUAUCUGCUGUGUAGAUUGUUGGGAGUCAGCAAAUUAUCAGUUGUGAAAGGAUGGAUGGGGAAAAGCAAUGAUGAAACCAACAAACACAUGCAUACAUGUUUGACAUGAUUACACAUUUGUUAAUUGUUAUGAAAUGUUUAUCAUGCAUGUUAUUAAACGUUUAAUUCAAGGUUUUUAAGGGUAUACUUAGGAUGGUUAUAAACUUUCCUACUGAGUUGUGAACUCACCCUAUUCCUUCCACCUAUAGAUGCAGGUCAGAAGACCUAUGCAGGAAAGAAUGCUUGAGCAAUGCUUUACUGUGAUUGGAUGCUGUUUGCUCAUAUUGAAAGUCUUUUGAGGCCAUGCCUUUUGUAUCAAGACUACACCUUUUGUUGGAAUGAUGUAAUGUAUAUAUUUGUUAGAUACACUUGUAGUAUGGGCUACCCGUAGUAAACAAUGGGGUUUGGUAUAUGUAAAUGAAUGUUGUACAAGUUUCUUUUGUGAAACAAAACAUAUUUUGUUAACUUAAUAGUCACAAUGUUUAAUACAGGAUGUACUCCUUAUAACAGGUUUUCCAUAUCCUCUUUUUGAACAAAUUCAAGUAGGAACUCAACAUUUAAGUUUUUGAGAGCACUUAUACUGUAUUUGAGUAUCAAUUGUUUAGUUGAAGAAUAAAUAAUAAUAAUAAUAAGAAAAAAAAAAUUGGGGUGUGACACAAUUAUAUUCCCCCAAACAAUUCAUGGAAUGCCAGCUUACAUUUCAAUUAGACCAAGGAUUACAGCAAGUUCUUUGGUCACUAUACUUAUUUCUUUCUUGCCAAUAGGAGAAACCGGUUUGGAGGUCAGAGGCCAAGAAUAUUUUUAGACCACCUAUGUAGACUAGCCUAACCUAGACUAAUAUUGUUUUUGUUAGAAUAUGAUAUACAAAAUAUGGGUCCAACUCUUGAUAACUUAAAACUUUGAGGAAAAUUGAUUACUUAACAGAAUCAGAUUUUAGGUUAUUUAGAGGUCUCGAGUUGAAAUCACUCCUCCAUUUAUUUAUUUGUCUAAUUAUGUGUAAUCACAAAUGUAUGAUUUAUCUACCACUACUAUGAUUUGGGAGGAUUGAGAUUUGUCUGCUACUACCAUGAUUUAUGCCUCUCAUGGUAGGUAUAGGGCCACAUGCAUGCAAUAGCAAAUGUGUGAUUUGUCAAUCAUGGGUAUAGGGCCACAAGUGCGUGAUAAAAAUGUGUGAUUUAUCUGUCACUAAUACCAUAGUUUGUCUCUCACACCCAAGGUGGGUACAGGAACAUGUUUGAGGGGGGUGUGAACAUGAUAUACGUUUGUCUAUCACUAUUGCAAUUUGAGAGGAUGAUCACAAAUGUAUGAUUUCUUUGUCAUUAUUGUCACUAUUAGGCUUGUGUUUUUACUCAAAGUGUUUUUAGUGGAAGCAUUUCUGAAAGUGUCUUUAGGAACCAAUCUAAUAAUGUUUCUUAAAAAAAAAUAUUACAAUAAUGAUUUUUCAAAAUUUUAAAAGUAUUUUUUAAUUUUGUUAAACAUCUAAUUUUUUAGUUUAAAAAUAAUUUCUAAAAUUACUGUCAAAUGCACUAUCAUCAAGCCUUUUUAAAAAAAAAUUAGUAAGUGUUAAAAUCUAUUACAAUAUAUAAAUUUUGAAACUAACUUUAAAAUAUUUUUUAAAACGGUUUUUUUUUGUUAUUUACAACAAAAAUAGUUUUCAAUUAUUAAAUUGUUUUUUUAAAAAUAAAAUUCUAACUUAAAAAAUAGGUUUAACAAACUUUCGACAAAUAUAAAUUUUUGAAAAUUUGUUUUAAAAAUAAAUUAUUAUUUUUAGAACAAAUCUUAGGUGUUUUUAAUUAUUUUUUUAUAUUAAAUAAUAAUUUAAAAUAUAAAUCAUUUUUUGAAAACUUUAAUAUGGGACACAAAUUGGUUUUUCUUUUUUCUCCUUCAAUUUGUUUAAGUUAAAGUAUUGUAAUUGAUAUUUAAGCUAAAAAUUUAAUCACCAUGUACCCAAAGAUUAGGUUGUGCCAAAUUUAUUUUUAACCUAAAUUCGGCCCAUUGGCUUGCCCACCUAGAAUUUUGGGCCCCACCUCAAAUAAAAGCGAAGCUCAAACCUGAACCCCUUAAAAAUAUCUAGGCCAGGUUGGGCUAAGAAUUAAAUUCCUCAUAAUAGGCAUCCAACCAAGGGAAUGAAAGUACCCAAUGGGAUUGCAUUUUAGUUGGGCCUUUUCAGUCUUCUGUUUGUUGGAAUAAAAGGACCCAAUGGGCUUGUAUUUUUAGUUGGACCCUCCAAUUAUUUUUUUAACCUCAUCCUAAACAGCCCAAAGACCCAAAAGAAAAAAAAAAUGUUUUCUUUGAAAAGUAUAUCCAAUGCCUCCUAAAUAAAUUGUUUAUAUUUUACUAUAAACUUUUAUGAAUAGAAAUUUCAAUAUUAUAAUAAAUAUAUAUUACUGCCAUUUUUUUUUUUUGAGAAAAUCGCUUUUAAUUAGUUAAAGGGAAAUUUAAUUAGAAAGUAGUUUCAGGAAUUUGGUUAAUUAUGAUUUAAAAUUACCAUAAGUUUGAAAAAUAAUAUAUAAGUAUUUAUCAUUGUAACAUUUUGACCAGAAUAAGAAUAUUAAAAUUUUAAAUAAUUUUUUUUGUUGAUAGAAAAUUUGACCUAUAGUUAAAUAAAUCAUUAUAUAAUUUAAAAACCAAAUUUUAAUAUUUUUCAUCGUUUAUAGAAGAAUCCUAAUUAAGCAAUCUUAGGACCCGUUUGGCAUAUUUUCUGAAAAUUGCUUUUAAAAACUAUUUUUUAUUCUUUAACUUAAAAACAAGUUUUAAAAAUAUAAUCAAACAUACCCAUAUUUUUAUUUUUAUUUAAAAAAAAAGGUGAAAACAAUUCCUACUUGUGUUUCUAAAAAUUAAUUUUUACUUCAUUUUAAUUUUAAAAUUUUUUUAAAAAAUAUAUGAAAAGUGUUUUUAAUUAUUAUUUUAAAAAAAAUAUUAUUUUUAGAACAAAUCUUAGGUGUUUUAUAUUAAAUAAUAAAUUAAAAUAUGAAUAAUUUUUUGAAAACUUUAAUAUGGGACACAAAUCGGUUUUUUUUUUUCCUUCAAUUUGUUUUAAGUUAAAGUAUUGUAAUUGAUAUUUAAGUUAAAAAUUUAAUCACCAUGUACCCAAAGAUUAGGUUGUGCCAAAUUUAUUUUUAACCUGAAUUUGGCCAAUUAGCUUGCUCAACUUGAAUUUUGGGCCUUACCUCAAAUAAAAGUGAAACUCGAACCUAAACUCCUUAAAAAUAUUUAGGCCAGAUUGGGCUAAGAAUUAAAUUCCUCAAAAUAGGCAUCCAACCAAGGGAAUGAAAGUACCCAAUAGACUUGCAUUUUAGUUGGGCCUUUUCAGUCUAUUGUUUGUUGGAAUGAAAGGACCCAAUGGGCUUAUAUUUUUAGUUAGGCCCUCCAAUUAUUUUUUUUAACCUCAUCCUAAACAACCCAAGGACCCAAAAGAAAAAAAAAAAUUGUUUUCUUUGAGAAGUAUAUCCCAACGCCUCCUAAAUAAAUUGUUUAUAUUUUACUAUAAACUUUUAUAGAUAGAAAUUUCAAUAUUAUAAUAAAUAAAUAUUACAACCAUUUUUUUUUUGAGAAAAUCGCUUUUAAUUAGUUAAAGGAAAAUUUAAUUAGAAAGUAGUUUAAGGAAUUUGGUUAAGUAUGAUUUAAAAUUAACAUAAGUUUGAAAAAUAAUAUCUCAAUAUUUAUCAAUGUAACAUAUUGACAAGAAUAAGAAUAUUUAGAUUUUAAAUAAUUUUUUAUUUUGAUAGAAAAUUUGACCUAUAGUUAAAUAAAUCAUUAUAUUAUUUAAAAACCAAAUUUUAAUAUCUUUCAUCUUUUAUAGAAGAUGCCUAAUUAAGCAAACUUAGGACCCGUUUGGCAUAUAUUUCUGAAAAUUGCUUUUAAAAACUAUUUUUUAUUCUUUAACUGAAAAACAAAUUUUUAAAAACAUAAUAAAACAAACCCAUAUUUUUAUUUUUAUUUUUUAAAAAAAAACAAGUGAACAAUUCCUACUUGUGUUUCGAAAAAUUAUUUUUUAUUUCAUUUUCUUUUUAAAAAUUGUUUAAAAAAUAUUUAAAAAUGAUUUUUAAUUAUUCUUUUUAAAAGUUUGUUUUAAUUAUUAGAAUAAAUCUUAAGCGUUUUUAAUUAUUUUUUAUAUUAAAUAAUAAUUUAAAAUAUAAAUAUUUUUUGAAAACUUUAAUAUGGGACACAAAUUGGUUUUUCCUUUUUUUCCUUCAAUUUGUUUAAGUUAAAGUAUUUUAGACCCCCUCAGAUGUGGGACCUUUUUUUUUGUUUUCUGAUUUUUUAUUUUUUAUUUUUCCUUCUUCCUUACGCCUUCUUACCACCCCAACAUUGAGCUGCAUGGGGUAGCUGGACAGGACUAGCAACCAAAGAGGACUGAUGAGUGAGCUAUUCUUGAGCAGGCAAGAUGACGACGACGGAAGUGAAAGAAAAGCAGCUGACGAACGAGCUGCUUAGGAAAAAGGAGACAUAGUUGAGUAGAAAAGAAGCACAAUUAAAGAAAGAGGGGACACAACUGAGCAAAAUGUGGCUGGUUAUAGAAAACGGUGGGUAAAAGGAGAAAAAGGAGUUUUUUUUUAGGGGAAGGCAGUUGGGAGAGUUGACAUAGAGGAUUAGGAGAGAAACGAAAAAAAGAAGGGGUUAGGAGAAAAGGAAGGGAGUGAGGAGUAAAACUGGAGAUCUUUUGAGGUUUUGAGAAGAGCGGUGUUUGUGACAGAGAGUAGGGUUGUGAUGGAGGUUGCUUGAGAUAGGCAACUAGAGGCUUGCUUAGAGAGGAGACUUCCAGGUAAAGCCUCUGUAAACUUCGCAUUUUUCCUCAUUUUCACAUUGCUUUACGACAUUUUUUUUACAGAUUUUGGAGUAUGAUUUUCAUUGAUUGGUUUGGGCAUCAAAGAUUACUGGUUUGUUUUGUUGAAUAUGUUUGCAUGCAUAUAUGCUUUGUGUGAUUUUACUUUGGUUUCCUGGACUCCUAUUGCAAGUAGUUGAUGCAUGGCUUCAUCCCUGAACUUGAUAUGUAAAAAUCAUGCUUUUGUUUCUUGUUGAUGCUACCUGCUUCUAGCUCUUUGAUAGUCCAUGACAUAGAGCUGGGUUCGAACUCUGUUUUCACGCUUUUAUUCUCCUUUGUUUGUGGCUCUGUUUCUUGAUGAUGGUGGGGUGAUAUUCAUCAAUGGCCAAGUUACUAGGAUAGGAGUGUAUACAAGGGGAUGAGUUGAUGAACCUACUAUGGAAUAAAUCUGAACCCAUAUGCUAUGAUAGCUUUGAAUCUACUGGCAGAAUGCACAUUGCUCAACGAUGACGAAGACAAUAAGUGUGACCAAGCUCAUUUCUGCCAUAUGCAAAGCUCAGAUAUGGAUUACAAUUUGAUUUGCCCAACAAAUGGAAAAGGUUAUGCGAGCAUUAGGCGAUGAUUCUAGGGUACAGGUCCAUGUUCGCGUUGGUGGGACCAGUUUCUAUGAAGAUCGACGCAUUAUCUUAAGCGGGGUUCAUGUCAUUAUGGGUGUUGGUGAUGGGGUCCUGAAGUCAUGGUUGAUGCCCUAUAUGAGUUUGCUCCUUAUAUAUGGCAUACAACUGCUGCCAUGUUUCCUGCUGGAAUGCUGGAGGUUGGGUGUUGGAGCUUUUGAUACAGAUUCGACAAGAAGGCGAAUGCCAUUCCAGUAGCAAAAGUGUGUUUCCCAUUGAAGCCACCUUCAUACCCAUUUUUCAAUCCCCCAUACCCAUCAACACUCUUUUCCAAUACCCAUUAACCUGCAUUCUUUUCACCAUCACUUCCUGUGUGCGUGAAAUCCAUGUACGUUCCACCACUCACCACCCUCUAUCUAACCAUGUCACCACCCUCUUCUCUCUCUACAUCAUCAACACCCACUGCCUGUUUCCUCACACCCAUCUCAUACCCAUUUUCCAACCACCCCACUUACCCAUUUCAAACACCAUGCUCCCAUCACCCAUGCCACCCGUGAGCAAGAACACUAACCCAUUUCCGUUAUCUCUCUCACUACUCGCUCUCUACUCAACACCAAUUCCCCCCAUGUAUGGCCAUCCUUGUUUCUCUCACUUAUCCACCACACCUAUUGCCACAACUUAUUCCUCCAUCUCACCACCUUUCCUAAUCACCACACCCAUUUCAUACCUGCAUGCAUAGCCAUGUGUGCAUGGCCAUCCGUCACUCUUCUCACACUUUUCUCCAUCCCUUUCCACCAUCAUACCCCCUUACCCAUUUCACCAAUUAUAUCCAUACCCUUCAUGACCCUCUUUCGGUCCUCUUCCUUUCAUUCCCCAUGAACCUAAGCCCCCUUGUCAACCAAAUACCCACCACCACCUAUAACUCCAUCUUCAUACCCGUUUCUCUCUCUACACCACGUACCCAUUUUUCACUCAUACCCAUUAAACCCAUUCUCUCCCACCUUUGCAUGGCUAUACAUGGCCACAUUAACCUCCACUCCCCAUUCCAUUAAUCCCAUGCUCAUAUUCUCCCAUGCCCUUCACCCCUCACCAUCCAUCCAAUCCACCCUCUUCUCAUUUUUAUUAUUUUUCACGUACAUGGAACCCCAUGCACACGACCACCACCAUCUUCCCACUCUUCAUACUCAACACCCACAAGUCCAUUUCCGUUAUCUCUCAUGAGCAUUUAACCUCCACGUCGCUUAUCCAAAAUUCAUCAAGGUAUAAAAAUAGUUCGCGUUCAAGCCAAGGUCGUACUUCGUGCUUUCUCUUAAGGUUAUGUGAAUGCCAUUUCUGAGUUGAACAGUGCAAAUAGGCUGUAAUCAGGUCCUAGGGAUUUUUUUUGGACAUGUUCAUCGUUUCUAUUUCCUUUGCUCAAAAAUCUAGGAGGUCACCAAAGGCGGGCACGCUCCAAGGUCAAUUUUCGGAUCCCGAAAAACCUACAUCUCGUUUUCGGUCCCUUCAGCAUUCCCUCUGCAGGUUGGGAGGAAACAGAAUCCGAGAACGAUCACUUCUACACACACGUUGACAUCGAAAAGUUCAGAUCUAGGCUUGAAGGUGACACCCAAAUCGACAAUCCCAACGGUGGUUUGGCUGCGGAGAGCGGCGACGAAAAGAAGAGCUCUAUGCUUCGGCGCCGACACUAUAAUCCGAUGGACAGCUCGUCAAUGUCGAGAGAGGAGGGUCCAUUUGUGGGCACUACCUAGGCCGAGAAGGUAAUGGCCUUAGAUAAGCUCGCUGAGCUUUUGGGCACUCGUUCCGAAGUGAGCCAAGAGAAUUCUAACAAAUCAGGAACCUGCUCUUCGUUCUCCAUUCAGUGCCUAUACUCUCCUUACUGAAUUCAGGCACUGUCAAUGGUCAUCGAAAGAAGUCAUUGUUGAGGCCUCGCGUCCCUGGUGAUCCAUGUAGUUGUCAAAUGGAUGGACGCACGAUCUCAACCAAUAUAGAUUCUUGAUUCAAUCGCACUACCUGCAAAAGGCGUCCGGACAGGGUGUCCGGACGCACCCUCCGAUGGUUUUGUCAGCCAUAGUUAGAGAGAGAGAUAAAUCAGUUGGCCUUUUACUAGGUACAGCAAGCUUACCUUCUUCUUUGUGUGAAGGUUCAUAUAUAUAGUAUCAGAGGCUUUGUUUCUCUCUUUAAUGGCAGGGAGAUAUUUUGUGUUGUCAUGAUGACACUAGGUGGUGGCAGGGCCAUCAUCACCCUACGGGCGGCUGACAGAGAUCGUGGUAGUUGUUGCGAUUGUCAGAAAUCGUGGGAAGUGAUCGUAGGAAGUGACUUGAUGUCACUUCAUUCUUGUCCUUUCACCCUGCAAGUGGCGGAACGUGGGCCAUGGCAGGUUGUUGUGAUAACGUGUAAGACUUGCUUACUUCAGUCAAUGAUCCGGACAAACAUAUCCGGAUAAUGUAUGUCGAUCGUCCGGAUGUGCUGUGGCAGUCGUCCGGAUGUUAUGUUUGUGAGUGUCGUGUGCCUCUCCUUGAGGGGGUCCGGAUAGGAGAGACGUGCCACGUGUACUCUUGGGGAAAUCCGAAUGAGGUUAACCCGGAUGAGAAUGUGUGCCACGCGUCAUCAGGAGAUGUGUGCCACGUGUGGGGAGGGGUCCCUAUAGUCAUCCCUUUGAACUCCCCUUCUGAAUUCCAUCAGAUUCACUCAGGUUAAUGGAUUAUAUAUUAAUCCUCUACCAUGUGAAGAAGAUGUGAAAGGUAAAGUUGAAUCAUCGCCUAGGGUGGAUACUGACUUGGAGAUUGAAAGUCGUUAUGCAGAAGUUUCAUUUGUUGACAAGCUUGAUGCAGAUAAUGGUGAUGGGCAUGGGUUACAGGGAGCGAAAUUUUCAUCCAUUGAUAAGUUUAGGGUUGACAAUGCUGGUGGCGUAUAGUGGGAAUCAAUUGGCUAAUGUUAACCGAAGGGGUGCUUUUCCAGCUGGGGCCUAGAAUGAAAUGAUCUGCGCAUGGUGCACCUUAUGCAUGGCCACCUUUGGGCCACGUGCUACCUCCUGUUCCAUCAUCUUUGAUUUUGAAAAUGAUUCCCCAAACCCUCUUUUGUAAAUAAUUUUCAAAAUUCAGGUUGUUAAAUAAUUUCAAAUCUCCAAAUUUUUCAUACUUCGCAUUUUUCUUAGGCUCCAAAAAUUAGUUUUCCAAUAAAAUUUGCUGUCAUUUUCUUUGGCAUGCAUUUUUCACAACUUCCAUGAUUUUAAAAUGUUUUGAAAUAAGCGUGAAUUUAAUCUCGUAAUUUUGGAUAAUGGAGUUAUUGGAAUGGAUUCAUGCAAAAUAAAAUGCCUGUGGUGGGGGCCCAACAUCAAAAAAAGUUUUAUUUAAAAUAAAAAUGAACUUGAGUGAAGCGCCAGGUGUGUCAUUGGUGAUUUCGUAUUCGAUUUAAUGACAUGUGAGCCAUAUUUUAUGUUCAUUAAUUGUGCACUAACUCGAUUUCUUAAUAGCACAUUAUGGCUCGUUGCCAAGGUAUGCACCCAUUUUCACUCUGGCAAUUCUUAUGCGUGUUUUGAUCUCCACGUUGUGCAUGAUAGUUCCAAAUAUCCAUUGAUUUCCUUAUCAAUUGCCAUGAUUAUUUCAUUUUAUUAGUAGAGACCCGUUUUUAGGGACUUAGAGGGGUGCUAUGGUUCUUACCGUACCUUCCCGAUAAGUAACCUGACCCCCGAGCCCCGACAUGGUUUUCACAUACCACCUUUUCCAAAUAAGAAGUCACACUUAGGAUUUUCUUUCUUAUUUUGUUUACCCUUUAAAAAUCAAACAAAAAUAAGUGACGACUCCAAGUCAUUUUCUUAAUAAAUAAAUCAUUUUUCAAAAUAAAAAGCGAGUUCGCCAUCGAAUUGAAGCGCAUGAGCUGAAAUGUGGGGUACACAAGUAUUGUCAUUGAUAUUUAAGCUAAAAAUUUAAUCACCAUGUACCCAAAGAUUGGGUUGUGCCAAAUUUAUUUUUAACCUGAAUUCGACCCAUUGACUUGCCCAACUUGAAUUUUGGGCCUCACCUCAAAUAAAAGCGAAGCUCGAACCUUAACCACUUAAAAAUAUUUGGGUUAGGUUGGGCUAAGAAAUAAAUUCCCCAGAAUAGCCAUCCAACCAAGGGAAUGAAAGUACCCAAUGGGCUUUCAUUUUAGUUUGGCCUUUUUAGUCUUUUGUUUGUUGGAAUGGAAUUACCCAAUGGGCUUGUAUUUUUAGUUGGACCCUCCAAUUAUUUUUUUAACCUCAUCCUAAACACCCCAAGGACCCAAAAGAAAAAAAAAUUGUUUUCUUUGAGAAGUAUAUCCCAACGCCUCCUAAAUAAAUUAUUAAUAUUUUACUAUAAACUUUUAUAAAUAGAAAUUUCAAUAUCAUAAUAAAUAAAUAUUACUGCUUUUUUUUUUUUUUUUGAGAAAAACUUUUAAUUAGGUAAAGGGAAAUUUAAUUAGAAAGUAGUUUAAGGAAUUUGGUUAAUUAUGAUUUAAAAUUACCGUAAGUUUGAAAAAUAAUAUCUAAGUAUUUAUCAUUGUAACAUAUUGACCAAAAUAAGAAUAUUAAAAUUUUAAAUAAUUCUUUAUUUUGAUAGAAAAUUUAACCUAUAGUUAAAUGAAUCAUUAUAUUAUUUAAAAACCAAAUUUUAAUAUGUUUCAUCUUUUAUAGAAGAACCCUAACUAAGCAAUCUUAGGACCCGUUUGGCAUAUUUUCUGAAAAUUGCUUUUAAAAACUAUUUUUUAUUCUUUAACUUAACAACAAGUUUUAAAAAACAUAAUCAAACAAACCCAUAUUUUCAUUUUUAUUUUUUAAAAAAAACAGUUGAAAACAAUUCCUACUUGUGUUUCUAAAAAUUAUUUUUUAUUUCAUUUUAAUUUUAAAAAUUGUUUAAAAUAUUAUAAAAAAAUAUUUUUAAUUAUUAUUUUUAAAUUUUGUUUUAAAAAUAAAUUAUUAUUUUUAGAAAAAAUCUUUGGUGUUUUUUAAUUAUUUUUUAUAUUAAAUAAUAAUUUAAAAUAUAAAUAAGUUUUUGAAAACUUUAAUAUGAGACACAAAUUGGUUUUUCAUUUUUUUUCCUUCAAUUUUUUUAAAUUAAAGUGUUGUAAUUGAUAUUUAAGCUAAAAAUUUAAUCACCAUGUACCCAGAGAUUGGGUUGUGCCAAAUUUAUUUUUAACCUAAAUUCUAUCCAUUGGCUUGCCCAACAUAAAUUUUGGGCCUCACCUUAAAUAAAAGCGAAGCUCAAACCUUAACCCCUUAAAAAUAUCUGGGCAAGGUUGGGCUAAUAAAUAAAUUCCUCAGAAUAGACAUCCAACCAAGACAAUGAAAGUACACAAUGGGCUUCCUUUUUAGUUGGGCCUUUUCACUCAUUUGUUUGUUGGAAUGGAAUGACCCAAUGGGCUUGUAUUUUUAGUUGGAUCUUCCAAUUAUUUUUUUAACCUCAUCCUAAACACUCCAAGGACCCAAAAGAAAAAAAAAAAUUUGUUUUCUUAGAGAAGUAUAUCCCAACGCCUCCUAAAUAAUUUGUUAAUAUUUUACUAUAAACUUUUAUAAAUUGAAAUUUCAAUAUUAUAAUAAAUAAAUAAGGAGUCACACUUAGGGUUUUCUUUCUUAUUUUGUUUACACUUUAAAAAAAAUAAGUGACGACUCCAAGUCACUUUCUUAAUAAAUAAAUCAUUUUUCAAAAUAAAAAGCGAGUUUGCCAUCGAGUUGAAGCGCAUGAGCCGAAAUACGGGGUCCACAAGUAUUGUAAUUGAUAUUUAAGCUAAAAAUUUAAUCACCAUGUACCCAAAGAUUGGGUUGUGCCAAAUUUAUUUUUAAGUUGAAUUCGGCCCAUUGGCUUGCCCAACUUGAAUUUUGGGCCUCACCUCAAAUAAAAGCGAAGCUUGAACCUUAACAACUUAAAAAUAUCUGGGCCAGGUUGGGCUAAGAAAUAAAUUCCUCAAAAUAGCCAUCUAACCAAGGGAAUGAAAGUACCCAGUGGGUUUUCAUUUUAGUUUGGCCUUUUCAGUCUUUUGUUUGUUGGAAUGGAAUUACCCAAUGGGCUUGUAUUUUUAGUUAGACCCUCCAAUUAUUUUUUUAACCUCAUCCUAAGCAGCCCAAGAACCCAAAAGAAAAAAAAAAUUGUUUUCUUUGAGAAGUAUAUCCCAACGUCUCCUAAAUAAAUUGUUAAUAUUUUACUAUAAACUUUUAUACAUAGAAAUUUCAAUAUUAUAAUAAAUAAAUAUUACUAUUUAGUUAUUUAUAAAUAAAUAAACAAAUAAAUAAAUAAGGAGUCACACUUAGUGUUUUCUUUCUUAUUUUGUUUACACUUUAAAAAAAAAUAAAAAAUAAGUGACGACUCCAAGUCAAUUUGUUAAUAAAUAAAUCAUUUUUCAAAAUAAAAAGCUAGUUUGCCAUCGAGUUGAAGCGCAUGAGCCGAAAUGCGGGGUCCACAAGUAUUGUAAUUGAUAUUUAAGCUAAAAAUUUAAUCUCCAUGUACCCAAAGAUUGGGUUGUGCCAAAUUUAUUUUUAACAUGAAUCCGGCCCAUUGGCUUGCCCAACUUAAAUUUUGGGCCUCACCUCAAAUAAAAGCGAAGCUCGAACCUUAACCACUUAAAAAUAUUUGGGCUACGUUGGGGUAAGAAAUAAAUUCCUCAUAAUAGCCAUCCAACCAAGGGAAUGAAAGUACCCAAUGGGCUUUCAUUUUAGUUUGGCUUUUUCGGUCUUUUGUUUGUUGGAAUGGAAUUACCCAAUGGGCUUGUAUUUUUAGUUGGACCCUCCAAUUAUUUUUUUAACCUCAUCCUAAACACCCCAAGGACCCAAAAGAAAAAAAAAAUUGUUUUCUUUGAGAAGUAUAUCCCAACGCCUCCUAAAUAAAUUGUUAAUAUUUUACUAUAAACUUUUAUAAAUAGAAAUUUCAAUAUUAUAAUAAAUAAAUAAGGAGUCACACUUAGGGUUUUCUUUCUUAUUUUGUUUACCCUUUAAAAAUAAAACAAAAAUAAGUGACGACUCCAAGUCAUUUUCUUAAUAAAUAAAUCAUUUUUCAAAAUAAAAAGCGAGUUCACCAUCGAGUUGAAGCGCAUGAGCCGAAAUGCGGGGUCCACAAGUAAUGUAAUUGAUAUUUAAGCUAAAAAUUUAAUCACCAUGUACCCAAAGAUUGGGUUGUGCCAAAUUUAUUUUUAACCUAAAUUCGGCCCAUUAGCUUGCCCAACUUGAAUUUUGGGCCUCACCUCAAAUAAAAGCGAAGGUCGAACCUUAACCACUUAAAAAUAUUUGGGCCAGGUUGGGCUAAUAAAUAAAUUCCUCAUAAUAGCCAUCAAACCAAGGGAAUGAAAGUACCCAAUGGGCUUUCAUUUUAGUUUGGCCUUUUCAGUCUUUUAUUUAUUGGAAUGGAAUUACCCAAUGGGCUUGUAUUAUUAGUUGGACCCUCCAAUUAUUUUUUUAACCUCAUCCUAAACACCCCAAGGACCCAAAAGAAAAAAAAAAAUUAUUUUCUUUGAGAAGUAUAUUCCAUCGUCUCCUAAAUAAAUUGUUGAUAUUUUACUAUAAAAUUUUAUAAAUAGAAAUUUCAAUAUUAUAAUAAAUAAAUAAGGAGUCACACUUAGUGUUUUCUUUCUUAUUUUGUUUACCCUUUAAAAAUAAAACAAAAAUAAGUGACGACUCCAAGCAUUUUCUUAAUAAAUAAAUCAUUUUUCAAAAUAAAAAGCGAGUUCGCCAUUGAGGUUAAGUGCAUGAGCCGAAAUGCGGGGUCCACAAGUAAUGUAAUUGAUAUUUAAGCUAAAAAUGUAAUCACCAUGUACCCAAAGAUUGGGUUGUGCCAAAUUUAUUUUUAACCUGAAUUCGGCCCAUUGGCUUGCCCAACUUGAAUAUUGGGCCUCACCUCAAAUAAAAGUGAAGCUUGAACCUUAACCACUUAAAAAUAUCUGGGCCAGCUUGGGCUGAUAAAUAAAUUCCUCAUAAUAGCCAUCCAACCAAAGGAAUGGAAGUACCCAAUGGGCUUUCAUUUUAGUUUGGCCUUUUCAGUCUUUUAUUUGUUGGAAUAGAAUUGCCCAAUGGGCUUGUAUUUUUAGUUGGACCCUCCAAUUAUUUUUUUAACCUCAUCCUAAACACCCCAAGGACCCAAAAGAAAAAACAAAUUUGUUUUCUUCGAGAAGUAUAUCCCAUCGUCUCCUAAAUAAAUUGUUAAUAUUUUACUAUAAACUUUUAUAAAUAGAAAUUUCAAUAUUAUAAUAAAUAAAUAAGGAGUCACACUUAGGGUUUUCUUUCUUAUUUUGUUUACCCUUUAAAAAUAAAACAAAAAUAAGUGACGACUCCAAGUCAUUUUCUUAAUAAAUAAAUCAUUUUUCAAAAUAAAAAGCGAGUUCACCAUCGAGUUGAAGCGCAUGAGCCGAAAUGCGGGGUCCACAAGUAAUGUAAUUGAUAUUUAAGCUAAAAAUUUAAUCACCAUGUACCCAAAGAUUGGGUUGUGCCAAAUUUAUUUUUAACCUAAAUUCGGCCCAUUAGCUUGCCCAACUUGAAUUUUGGGCCUCACCUCAAAUAAAAGCGAAGGUCGAACCUUAACCACUUAAAAAUAUUUGGGCUAGGUUGGGCUAAUAAAUAAAUUCCUCAUAAUAGCCAUCCAACCAAGGGAAUGAAAGUACCCAAUGGGCUUUCAUUUUAGUUUGGCCUUUUCAGUCUUUUAUUUGUUGGAAUGGAAUUACCCAAUGGGCUUGUAUUAUUAGUUGGACCCUCCAAUUAUUUUUUUAACCUCAUCCUAAACACCCCAAGGACCCAAAAGAAAAAAAAAAAUUGUUUUCUUUGAGAAGUAUAUCCCAUCGUCUCCUAAAUAAAUUGUUAAUAUUUUACUAUAAACUUUUAUAAAUAGAAAUUUCAAUAUUAUAAUAAAUAAAUAAGGAGUCACACUUAGGGUUUUCUUUCUUAUUUUGUUUACCCGUUAAAAAUAAAACAAAAAUAAGUGACAACUUCAAGCAUUUUCUUAAUAAAUAAAUCAUUUUUCAAAAUAAAAAGCGAGUUCGUCAUCGAGUUGAAGCGCAUGAGCCGAAAUACGGGGUCCACAAUUAAUGUAAUUGAUAUUUAAGCUAAAAAUUUAAUCACCAUGUACCCAAAGAUUGGGUUGUGCCAAAUUUAUUUUUAACAUGAAUUCGGCCCAUUGGCUUUCCCAACUUGAAUUUUGGGCCUCACCUCAAAUAAAAGCGAAGCUCGAACCUUAACCACUUAAAAAAUAUCUGGGCCAGGUUGGGCUAAGAAAUAAAUUCCUUAGAAUAGCCAUCCAACCAAGGGAAUGAAAGUACCCAAUGGGCCUUCAUUUUAGUUAGGCCUUUUCUGUCUUUUGUUUGUUGGAAUGGAAUUGCCCAAUGGGCUUGUAUUUUUAGUUGGGCCCUCCAAUUAUUUUUUUAACCUCAUCCUAAACAUCCCAUGGACCCAAAAGAAAAAAAAAAAUUGUAUUCUUUGAGAAGUAUAUUCCAACGCCUCCUAAAUAAAUUGCUAAUAUUUUAUUAUAAACUUUGAUAAAUAGAAAUUUUAAUAUUAUAAUAAAUAAAUAUUACUACAUUUUUUUUUUUUGAGAAAUCUCUUUUAAGUAGUUAAAGGGAAAUUUAAUUAGAAAGUAGUUUAAGGAAUUUGGUUAAUUAUGAUUUAAAAUUAUCAUAAGUUUGAAAAAUAAUAUCUAAAUAUUUAUCAUUGUAACAUAUUGACCAGAAUAAGAAUAUUAAAAUUUUAAAUAAUUUUUUAUUUUGAUAGAAAAUUUAACCUAUAGUUAAAUAAAUCAUUAUAUUAUUUAAACAUCAAAUUUUAAUAUGUUUCAUCUUUUUCAGAAGAACCCUAACUAAGCAAUCUUAGAACUCGUUUGGCAUAUUUUCUAAAAAUUGCUUUUAAAAACUAUUUUUUAUUCUUUAACUUAAAAACAAGUUUUUAGAAACAUAAUAAAACAAACCCAUAUUUUUAUUUUUAUUUUUAAAAAACAGCUGAAAACAAUUGAUACUUCUGUUUCUAAAAAUUAUUUUUUAUUUCAUUUUAAUUUUAAAAAUUGUUUAAAAAUAUAUAUAAAAAAAUGUUUUUAAUUAUUAUUUUUAAAAUUUAGUUUUAAAAAUAAACUAUUAUUUUUAGAACAAGUCUUUAGUGUUUUUUAAUUAUUUUUUAUAUUAAAUAAUAAUUUUAAAUAUAAAUAAUUUUUUGAAAACUUUAAUAUGGGACACAAAUUGGUUUUUCAUUUUUUUUCCUUCAAUUUUUUUAAGUUAAAGUAUUGUGAUUGAUAUUUAAGCUAAAAUUUUAAUCACCAUGUACCCAAAGAUUUGGUUGUGCCAAAUUUAUUUUAAACCUGAAUUCGGCCCAUUGGCUUGCCCAACUUGAAUUUUGGGCCUCACCUCAAAUAAAAACGAAGCCUGAACAUGACCCCUUAAAAAUAUUUGGGCCAGGUUGGGCUAAGAAUUAAAUUCCUCAUAAUAGGCAUCCAAUAAAGGGAAUGAAGGUACCUAAUGGGCUUGCAUUCGUUGUGCCUUUUCAGUCUUUUGUUCUGUGGAAUGAAAUGACCCAAUGGGCUUGUAUUUUUAGUAGGGCCCUUCAAUUAUUUUUUUAACCUCAUCCUAAACAUCCCAAGGACCCAAAAGAAACAAAAAAUUGUUUUCUUUGAGAAGUAUAUCCCAACACCUCCUAAAUAAAUUGUUAAUAUUUUACUAUAAACUUUUAUAAAUAGAAAUUUCAAUAUUAUAAUAAAUAAAUAUUACUACCUUUUUUUUUUCUUUUUUUUUAUAGAGAAAAUCGCUUUUAAUUAGUUAAAGGGAAAUAUAAUUAAAAAGUAGUUUAAGGAAUUUGGUUAAUUAUGAUUUAAAAUUACCAUAAGUUUUAAAAAUAAUAUCUAAGUAUUUAUCAUUGUGACAUAUUGACCAGAAUAAGAAUAUUAAAAUUUUAAAUAAUUUUUUAUUUUGAUAGAAAAUUUAACCUAUAGUUAAAUAAAUCAUUAUAUUAUUUAAACACCAAAUUUUAAUAUGUUUCAUCUUUUAUAGAAGAACCCUAACUAAGCAAUCUUAGGACCCGUUUGGCAUAUUUUUUGAAAAUUGAUUUUAAAAACUAUUUUUUAUUCUUUAACUUAAAAACAAGUUUUAAAAAACAUAAUCAAACAAACCUAUAUUUUUAUUUUUAUUUUUAUUUUUAAAAAAUAGCUAAAAUAAAUUCCUACUUGUGUUUAUAAAAUUAUUUUUUUAUUUCAUUUUAAUUUUAAAAAUUGUUUAAAAAAUAUAAAAAAAUGUUUUUAAUUAUUAUUUUUAAAAUUUUGUUUUAAAAAUAAAUUAUUUUUUUAGAACAAAUCUUUGGUGUUGUUUAAUUAUUUUUUAUAUUAAAUAAUAAUUUAAAAUAUAAAUAAUUUUUUGAAAACUUUAAUAUGGGACCCAAAUCGGUUUUUCAUUUUUUUUUCCUUCAAUUUUUUUAAGUUAAAGUAUUGUAAUUCAUAUUUAAGCUAAAAAUUUAAUCACCAUGUACCCAAAGAUUAGGUUGUGCCAAAUUUAUUUUUAACCUGAAUUGGGCCAAUUGGCUUGCCCAACUUAAAUUUUUGGCCUCACCUCAAAUAAAAAUGAAGCUCGAACGUGACCCCUUAAAAAUAUCUGGGCCAGGUUGGGCUAAGAAUUAAAUUCCUCAGAAUAGGCAUCCAACCAAGGGAAUGAAAGUACCUAAUGGACUUGCAUUUUCGUUGUGCCUUUUCAGUCUUUUGUUUUGUGGAAUGAAAGGACCCAAUGGGCUUGUAUUUUUAGUUGGGCCCUCCAAUUAUUUUUUUAACCUCAUCCUAAACAUCCAAAGGACCCAAAAGAAAAAAAAAAUUGUUUUCUUUGAGAAGUAUAUUCCAACGCCUCCUAAAUAAAUUGUUUAUAUUUUACUAUAAACUUUUAUAAAUAGAAAUUUCAAUAUUAUAUUAAAUAAAUGUUACUGCCAUUUUUUUUUUUGAGAAAAUUUCUUUUUAUUAUUUAAAGGGAAAUUUAAUUAGAAAGUAGUUUAAGGACUUUGGUUAAUUAUGAUUUAAAAUUACCAUAAGUUUGAAAAAUAAUGUCUAAGUAUUUAUUAUUGUAACAUAUUGACCAAAAUAAGAAUAUUAAAAUUUUAAAUAAUUUUUUAUUUUGAUAGAAAAUUUAACCUAUAGUUAAAUAAAUCAUUAUAUUAUUUAAAAACCAAAUUUUAAUCUUUUUCGUAUUUUAUAGAAGAAUCCUAAUUAAGAAAUCUUAGGACCCAUUUAUCAUUGCUUUUAAAAACAAUUUUUUAUUCUUUAACUUAACAAGAAGUUUUAAAAAGCAUAAUCAAACAAAGCCAUAUUUUUAUUUUUAUUUUAAAAAAAACAGGUGAAAACAAUUCCUACUUGUGUUUCUUAAAAUUAUUUUUUAUUUCAUUUUAAUUUUUAAAAGUUUUUUAAAAAAUAUUAAAAAAAUGUUUUUAAAUGACAAGGUCAAACACGCUUGUAGAUUUUGAGUAAUAUGAUACAAGUUGUUUGGGGUUUAAGGCCAUGUCAAUUGGGCAAGUGGGUUAUUGGUCCUUGUUGCUUACAAGUUAAAAAGGAAUUUAUGUAUUUAAGAACUAUAGUUUCAAACCCUAACCAAUACCAAGAAUUCCUAUUGAAAAGUAGUUUUAAGUUCCAACACUAGAAAUUUCUCAAUAUCCUUAAAACAUUUGCAUUUGGUAAUUGAAAUAAAAUACUCACAUUUUGUUGACAAUCCUAUGGCGUGAAUUAGGCGAAAGAUGAGGCUUCCAAUCAUCUCCAUCCAUGGCAGUUCAGCCUGAGCAGGUAGAGCUCUGAUUAAAAAAAAAAAAGGAAGAAGAAAAACUUAUCAGUUUCCUGUACUUCUUACUAAAAAAAGAACCUGAGAAAGAAAAUCAAAUAAUCACAUCAUGGUAUUUAAAAGAAGCAAACUAUCCAUUUCCUCCAAUCAAUAAAAAAUUCAAAAUAAAAAGCAAGAAAGAAAAUCAUGCCAUGAUAAUAAAAUGAAAUGAGUAAUCAGUUUUCAUAUUUCCCGCAGAAUCAAAAAUUGGAAGUGAAACCCAAGAAUUUGGAUAUGAUAUUCAAAUGAACAGAAUAAUAAUAAAAAAUUGAAAAUAAAACCAAAGAAACGAAAACCGCGCCAUGAUAUGAAAAUGAAUUGAAUAAUCGGUUUUUUAUCACGAUCUUUCAAUGAAUCGAAUAAUUGAUUUUCUUUGUUGAAUUAAAAAUAAAAAACUGAGGAUAAACCCAAGAAGGUAAUCAUGCCAUGAUGUUAAAAAAAGUUGAAUUACCAGUUUUUUAGAUUGAAUCGGAAAUUGAAAAAGAAGCCCAAGAAAGAAAAUCACGCCAUGAUAUUGAAAUCAAGUGAAUUAUUACUUUUCUCUUCUUUAUCAAAAAUGCCAAACGAAACCCUAGAAAGAAUGCUACGCUCUGAUAUUAAAACGGAUAGAAACAGUCAGUUAUCCCUAGCAAAUCAAAAAUGGAAAAUGAAAUCCAAAAAAGAAAAUCACGCCCUGAAUCAAAAUGAAUCAAAUUAUCUGUCAUCUCUACUAAAUCAAAAAUUGAAAAUGAAACCAAAAAGGAAAAUGACGCCAUGGUAUUCAUGCGAAUUGAAUAAUUAGUUCUUUAUGGAGUCAUUAAAAUAAAUAAAUUAUCGAAGAAAAAAACCGAAUGAAAUAAUUAGUUUUUUCCAUUGAAUCAAAAUAGAGAGAGAAAAUCAGUGCAUGGUAUUGAAUGAAGUGAAAUGGAAAAAAUAAUAAUAAUAAGAAGGAACCUGGGACUGGGAGUAAGUGGGAUGAGAGGGCAGUUUUAGAGAAACCCUAGCCCUUCUGAUUCGGAAUGUCAUGGCUUUGAUGCUCUAAGAUAAAAGUUUCUGCUUAUGAGAGAAACAAACUAGGAAAAGUUUUUUGCUUCGCGGAGAAGAAAGUACGAAUAACACCUACCUAUUUAUAUUAAAAAAAAUAAUAAAUAAAUAAAUAAAACCCUAAGUGUCGUCGGUUACGUGGUUCACACUUGACAGCAAGCAUGAAAGGCGUGGAGUGCCCACUGUCCACCUUCCCCAACUCACCCUACAGUUUAGUUUCUCUCUACAAUAUUGCACUUUCUCCCUCUAGUGGCCUCUCGAUUCUGCAAUGGACACAAAAGCAACAGCGGCGACGUUGCAGCUUGUCUAUUGCGAAAUCGAGUCUUUUCAUCACACCUGUCCUAUUACUUCCAAGAAGAGACCUAGCCCUUCUGGAAUAGUUGCAUUUCGACGACCAAACGACAUGGUUCAGGCCAUGGCUACCGCCCCCAAACCUACUCAAACAUAAUCUUCUGGAUCGUCUCCGAGGAAGGGGUUUGUCAAUGGAUCUUCGAGAUCUCCGUUUGUCUGACGUUUCAAAGGUUGUAGCCAUUUCUAUCAAACGGAAUCUUCUGGAUCAUCUUCGAGGCAAGAAAAUUCAACACAUUCUUGAAAUAUGAGAUUAGUGUUUCAGAGUUGUUCUUUAUUUUUCUUGUCUGUUUUCUUAGGAACCGAAGAACAAGAUUUUUUUUUUUUUCGUUUUUUUUCCUGUUUUUGGUUUUAUGAUUCAUUUGAUUUUAGGGAAAUUUAGGAAAAUUAAGCAAGAAAAUGCAACACAUUCUUGAACUACGAGACUAGGAAAUGUUUCAGAUUUGUUAUUUACUUUUCUUGUUUGUUUUCUUGGGACUUGAAGAAUGGGAAUUUUUUUUCCAUUUUUUUUCUUCUUAUUUUUGGUUUUAUGGUCCAUUUGAUUUCUAGGAAAUUUAGGAAUAAACAAGAAAAAUGCAACGCAGUCUUGAAAUAUGAGACUAGGAAAUGUUUCGGUUUCAGUUUUUUGAGUGUCUGAGCACAAACAUCAACCUGACAGGAUGAUUUAGAUCAUUUUUGUCAAGUUGUUUGGUUGUAUGUAGCAUGCCAUCCUAUGUUAAUAACCAUUUCCCCAUUCAUUUUCUAUUUGUGGUUUUACACACCAUAAUUGCUCGGAUUCCUGUUACAUCCUCUGUUAUUUCUGCCUUUUGAUUUGAUAUAAUGGUAAUUAUAGGUAUACUUCAAAAAUGCUUCUUGCUACAAUUGAUGAACACCAUUGAGGAACUUAUGAUUUUAUUUAUUUGCCAAUUGACUUCAAAGUAAGUAAAUCUUGCAUGGAUGGAAUUUCUUUGGGGAAGAAAAUCACAUAUGGCAUAUGCACAUCUGAUUCACCUUUUUACAAAUUCUGUUUUAUAGAACAAAUGCAAUGUGGGCUAUGCUUUUGUCAACAUGAUAGGUCCUCUUCAUAUUGUUCCAUUACAUCAGGUUUGAAUCCAUGGAUUGUAAUAUAAUUAUACUUAAUAUUUUUUUCGACUUUCAAAGGAAAGCUUCUUGUCUACAGAAUUUCAUAAGGUCUGCAACUGAUAUGGACUGAGAACUGCUAAUCAGAAUGUAUCAUAUAUUUCACAGGCAUUCAAUGAAAAAAAGUGGGAGAAGUUCAAUAGUGAGAAGGUGGCAUCUCUUGCAUAUGCUCAAAUUCAAGGAAAAACUCAUCAAAAAGAGGAGAAACAUAACAAACAACCAACUAAGCUUAGGUAGAACCUAGGAUCACGUCCUAGUGAUGAGAAAUCAGAGGAACAAACGAAUAAACUUAGAUUAAAACUAGGAUAGUAACCUAAUGACGUGUAACACCUAGUACUAAUGAAUUAAAUAGGCAAUAAUGAUUAUUUUAGUACUUAACUUUAAGCUGGUUUAAUUAGAUGUUAAAACUAGUUUAGUGGUAAUAAUGUUUAAUUAUGAAUUAAACUUUGAUUAAGGUUAAGUGGGAUUAGUUAAUGACCUAAGCAUGCUUAUUAGGUUCUUAAGGACUGAUUAGGGUUAUGAAAACCUAAAGGACUAAUGGGCAAUUAUGGGUUUUAUUUUUGAUAACUUGAAAUACUAAAGUGCAAAAUUGGGAAAUUGGAGUUAGUGGAAUGCCACCUCCUACUUGGGUGGAUUGGUGGCAGCCCUUUAUAAGGGGGCUACAACUCGUUUUGCACUGGUUCCCCUGCAACAACUUGGGUUAGAGGGAGGAUCUAGAGAGAGAAAGUGUAGAUUUGAGGUAAGCAGGUUGUUUGAUUUUGUAAUUUUCAUUUAUUUUGGUUCCUAAUGGUAUGUUGAAAAGAAUUAACAGUAAAAAUUGUGUAAAAGUUGAGUGUAAUUAGCUAUAAACCUAUUUUAGUUAAAAAAAAUCGCAAUUAAUUAAAUAUUAAAAUAUUUUAACUUAAGAUUAGUAACAUGUGAUGAAUUGGGUUAUUUGGACACUUGGGAUUUGUUAAUAGGUUAGGCUUUAAGAAAAUCAAAAGAAUUAGUGUUUGGUAAUUAAUUAGGGAAAUUCAUAUGAAUUGUAAAUAUUGUUUAAUUCAAUUCAAAUUUGAUUUGAAAACCUGUAGAUAUAUAGAUUAGAGAAUAUGAGAAUUAAAAAUUAGCAACAGUAAACUGUAUAAAUUUUCAUGAUUAGGAAACAUAAAUUAUGUUGUUUCAUUUCAUUUCAGUUCCUCGUAAAUAGGCAAAGAUCGCCUACUUAGAAGAAACACAAAAAAGAAGUCGGUGUAAGGUAGGGAAUUUUAUGCUAUUCUAUGAUGUAUCUGAUUUCUUUCCUUGAAUCAUUUGUUGGAAUUUCAUGUUAUUUCUAUGAUUUCAUAAAAAUGUUUUAAUGUGUCAUUGCAUCUCGGUUUAUUGCAUUGAAAUGUUACCAUGAUAUUGGAACGUAUAUUGGUAUGAAGAUUCAUGGUGUGGUUGCAUUGCAAGAAAGGAUAUGGAAUUAUCACAGAUGAUAUUCAGAGAAUUGAUUAGUGGGAAGUGUUUAUGUGAUGCUAUAGGCAUUAUCAUUUGAUAUAUUGUUUAUGUGGGACCGUGGGUCCUUGGGUGAAAGUCCCUAAAACCCUCGAGGAAGACACUUCGAUGUGGGUGUAUGGGGUUGGUCCUGCCCCUGGGUUUUAGUCCCUAAAGACACGGGGUAUGACUUGCCCUUGUGUGAUGUCCCAGAAUAGUCAUUAUUAUAUUGAUCGAGUAUCUUGUGGAGCAUUGAUAUCUGAUGUGUAGAUUGGUGGGGGUUAGCAGUUUAUCAAUUGUGAAAGGAUGGAUGAGGAAAAGCAAAGAUGAAACCAACAAACACAUGCAUACAUGUUUGACAUGAUUACAUUUGUUAAUGGUUAUGAAAUGUUUAUCAUGCAUGCUAUUAAAGGUUUUUAAGGGUAUGCUUAGGAUGGUUAUAAACUUUCCUGCUGAGUUUUGAACUCACCCUAUCCCUUCCACCUCUAGAUGCAUGUCAGAAGACCUAUGUAGGAAAUAAUGCUUGAGCAAUGCUUUACUGUGAUUGUAUGCUGUUUGCUCGCAUUGAAUUUUGAGGCCUGCCUUUUGUAUCAAAGACUAAACCUUUUUGUAGGAAUUAUGUAAUAUAUAUAUAUAUUUGUUAGGUACACUUGUCGUAUGGGCUACCCGUAGUAAACAAUGGGGUUUUGGUACAUGCAAAUUAAUGUAGUACAAGUUUCUUUUGUGAAACAAAACAUAUUUUGUUAACUAAUAGUCACAAAGUUUAAUACAGGAUGUACUCUUUAUAACAGGUUUUGCGUAUCCUCUUUUUGAACAAAUUCAAGUAGGAACUCAACAUUUAAAUUUUUAAGAGCACUUAUACUGUAUUUGAGUAUCAAUUGUUUAAUUGAAGAAUAACAAAAAAAAAAUGGGGUGUGACAUGACAGGUAACUAAAGGAACUAACAAUGAACAGAGAUAGAACCAAGAAUUGUGGUCCAAUGAUGAGCAAUCAAAAGAACAAAUGAAUUAGCUUAGAUAAAACCUAGGAUGGCAUCUCAAUGAUGUGAAACUAUAAAACGAAGAAUGAAAAUGAAUAGAACUAUGAAUGGUGUUCCAAUGAUGAGCAAUCUCAGGAACAAAUGAUUAUGUUUUGAUAGAACCUAGGAUGACAUCAUGAUUAUAGGGUGAAGGACGAGGGAUACCCUAAACAAACUUAAGGAAGUGGGAUGCCCUAAAUAAACUUAAUGAAGGGAAUUUUCUAAACAAAGUCAAGGAAGGGGGAUGCUCUAAGCAAAUUCGAGUAAGCGGGAUGCCCUUAAAAAUCGAAAAUGAACAUUAAGAAGGGGGAUUCACUAACAACACUCAUAGAAAGGGCAUGCCACAAACAAACUCUACCAAGGGGGAUGCCCAAUCCCAACAAAAGCGGUUGUGCUAAAAAACUUCAAAAAAUGGAGUCGUGCUAAACAAACUACUGGAUGGGGAUGCCCUACUACACUAAAGGAAGUGGGAGUCUGCUAAGUAAUCCCUAGGAAAGGGUAUGCCCUAAAAGAAUUGAAGGAAGUUGGUUGGUCUAAACAAACUCUAGGAAAGGGAAUGAAUUAAAAAUCUCCAUAAAGAUGGAUUGUAAUACCUCGCAAUAAUGAUUAUCUUAGUACUUAACUUUAAACGUGCUUAAUUAGAUGUUAAAACUAGUUUAGUGUUAAUCCAGUGUAAUUAUGAAUUAAACUUUGAUUGAGGAUAAGUGAGAUUAGUUAAUGACUUCACCAUGCUUAUUAGGUUCUUAGGGGCUGAUUAUAGUUAUGAAAACCUAAAGGACUAAUGGGAAAUUAUGGGUUUAAUUUUUGAUAACUUGAAGGACUAAAGUGCAAAAUUUAGAAGUUGGAGUUAGUGGUCUGCCACCUCCUACUUGGGUGGGCUUGUGGCAGCCAUGUGGCCUGCCACCUCCUACUUGGCUGCAUGGAGAGAGGAUCUAGAGAGAGAAAGUGUAGAUUUGAGGUAAGCAAGUUGUUUAAUUUAGUAAUUUUAUUUUAUUUUGGUUCCUAAUGGUAUUUUGAAACAAAUUAACUGUAAAAUUUGUGUAAAAGUUGAGUUCAAUUAGUUAUAAACAUGUUUUAGUUAAAAAUCACAAUUAAAGUAUUUUAGCUUAAGUAUUUUAUUAAUGGUAAGAUUAGUAUAAAUCUUUGUUUAAUUGAAAAAUAGAUUAGUAAACAUGUGAUUAAUUAGGUUAUUUAGACACUUGGGAUUUGUUAAUAGGUUAGGCUUUAAGAAAAUCAAAACAAUUAGUGUUUGAUAAUUAAUUAGGGAAUAUUAAUAUGCAUUGUAAAUAUUGUUUAAUUCAAUUUAAAUUUGAUUUGAAAACUUGUAGGCAUGUAGUUUAGAGAAUAUUAUAAUUAAAAAUUAGCAACAGUAAAUUGUAUAAAUUUUCAUCGUUAGGAAGUCUAAAUUAUGUGUUUCAUUUCAGUUCCUUGUAAUAGGUGAAGAUCGUCUACAUAGAAGAAUCACAAAGGGAAAGUCCGUGUAAGGUAGGGAAUUUUAUGUUAUCCCAUGGUCUAUCUGAUUUCUUUCCUUGAAACAUUUGUUGGAAAUUUCAUGUCAUUUCUAUGAUUUUAUAAAAUGUUUUAAUGUGUCAUUGCAUCUUGGUUUAUUGUGUUGAAAUGUUACAUUGAGAUUGGAAUGUAUAUUGGUAUGAAGAUUCAUGGUUUUACAUUGUUGAAAUGGUUCAUGGUGUGGUUGCAUUGCAAGAAAGAUAUGGAAUAAUCACAGAUGAUAAUCAGAGAAGUGAUUGGUAGGAAGUGUUUAUGUGGGAUCGUGGGUCCUUGGGUGAAAGUUCCUAAAGCCCUCAAUGAAGACACUCCGAUGUGGGUGGGGUGUGUCCUUCCCCUGGGUUUUAGUCUUUAAAAACAUGGGGUUGGUCUUGCCCUUGGGUAUGAGUCCUAAAAGACACGGG
rnacentral:lncRNA from 1 species